AUAUGGCGGCUCCCGUGUGGUUAGAUCCAACGUUAACGAUAUAUAUAAUAUAUAUAUAAUAUAGGAAAACACUCGAACAGUCACCAUGCCUUCGUCGAGCACUACGGACGACGAAGAUAAUGAACCAAAGAGUUAUAAAAAACUCAUAAAAACAUUGAAAAGCAAACAAAAAUAUACAUGUUAUGCAUAUUACUUCGAACAAGUACGAGAAUGUAAAUUGUUUCACCACUGCACGAUGGAAUACAUACAGGACAAGCCUACAGAAGUGGCUCGGUUUGGAGGGUGAGUCUCGGGACCUGGCUGAGAACUUUAAACACUGUGUUGAUGUCGAGUUUGACAAUAUUCCCGAGGAAGCUGGCUUCCAUCACACGUGCUACCGUAGAUUUACGGACAAAAAUGCCAUUGCAAAGGUGGAAAGACGUCUUGCACGUGAGAGACAAAAAGCUACGGAAGACCCCGAGGACACAGAAGACCACGAGGCCAUUCCAUCGACUUCUAGCAGCAGGAGUCCAACAAAGAAACUGCGAUCCAGGCCAAUUGCAGAAAGCUGCCGAGUUGAAGGACGACCAAAGUAUUCUUUUGCAUAUAAAAUACAAAGAUUGUGUGGCUCUGGAGGUGCAGUACCACAGAGGCUGUUACAAUCGGUACACCAGGUUUUUGACGAAGCCUGAAAAACCGGAAAAAGAACAGAUGAGCCCAUGUUUGAUGUCAGCUAUAAGAUAUUUUGUGAGCGGAUCAUUCGCCAAAGGCUGCUUGUCAAAAAGAAAGACAUUUUCUGUUGCAUGUGAGAAAGAUGAGUACCUAAAGGCUUUUAAAAGUUUAGGUACUAACUUUAACUUGGAGCAGUCAACAUUUGCAUUUCUUUGCCAGUAUGUAUGCCACUUAUAUGAUCAGCCAGCUGCUGAUAAUGUAAAUGAAGCUAGGUACAAGGCUUUCUGUAUGACAUCAUCAGCCUUGCCAGAAUUAUCCAUUCCCCCUACCACUGAUGCCCUCCAUCAGCACUGCAAAAGGGCAAACUACCAGGCUGCAAUAAUGAGGUCCUGUCUCAAACAAAAUAUAAGUGCUCCAUCACCUGCUGGAUAUGGUUGGCAAAUAAGAGGAUGGGAACUUGCACGUCACCUGGAUGACUAGAAAUCCGGCCCCUGACAGUGUUUUGCAUGUGAUUACACUGUGGCUGCAAAGGUGCCUGUGAGAUAGACAGAUGUUCCUGUUUUUCUGCAGGAUUGUGUUGCACAGACCUAUGUCGCUGCCGUAGUUGUGCCAACACAAAAGAAUCUGAGGAACUGUUGGCAGUGAGCUUCGAUAAUGACAACAGCAGCGUAGGCUGCUACACGAACACACUACACAUUGGAAUCUAAAAUCUCUCUCUCAGAAAUUAACCAGUCAGUACAGGAUAUCAUUUGUUUAUUGAUUUAAAAUAUACAAGUCAUUUAUAUGAUUGUGAAAUCAACACAUCCUUAAUUGAUUAUUUCCAGUGAAUAAAUCAUGAAAAUAAAAACAUAUAUGAAGCCAGUUUUAUGCAGAAUUAAAUCAACUGUAAAACCCACAA